UUUAGAUCCGUUGGCUGAAUGCCUUUUAGUCUGCAUACAUGCAUCUCAUACCGCACAGCCCAAAUUUCUACAACUUGUCCAGGUGCAGUCUCCUCAGAACUACAAAGCAAGAAAAGAUCACCUUUGGGCUCAGGAACUCACAGUCGUUCUCCCUCUCCCGGAAGGCACAAUGACCAGGACAGUACCGAGCUUUACAGCCAUAUUGAACUCACCAUCAACUCAGCACAUUCAACUCAAUCAGUCAAAAUCGUCUUUUCCUGCUGGUAAAUAACACUGAAAUACAAGGAAGCUGAGCCUUCACAAGGUCGAACAACACAUUUGAUGCCAUGCAACUGAGAAGUGGUUCAAGCUGGAUUUGAACAAAUGUAGUCAGACUCUGCA
rnacentral:lncRNA from 10 species